rnacentral:lncRNA from 1 species
GCUGCCUCCUGAAGCCGACUCAAGGACUGGGGACUUGGUGGAUCUAUGGCAUUAGUACCCACAGAGGUCACCUGCACAGACAAAUCUGUCGCCACCCUUCAACCCUGGCCUACCGGAUCUGCGGGGAGAAAUGCAGCAUUUGAAUUGGGGAGUGUUCAAUCCUGCUCUGCGGGAUUUACAAAUAUCAGCUACAACCCAGCCAUGAGAAGGUCUCAUACAGUCAGAGGACUUUGCGGGAAGCACACUCCCUCCUUGUUUUGGGUUACAAGGAAAGCCCAGGAAAGCUAGUCCCAGAAGGCCUGGGUCAGCUACACCCAGUUCACCCAUGCUCAACCCGGAACAGCCGACCCAAACGGUCAGGAAGGACUUUCUGGAAGCCCAUCUCCGUAUGCUCACCAGCCCACCCUCCUACGCUGGUCAGAGUGAGAUUGCUAACCUCAAGACCCCAUUCAAUGCCAGCUUUCAACUGCUGCUGAAGACCAAUGUAGGUCCUGGAUUAGAAGAACCGCAGAGUAUCCGGAGCUGGCCGACCCCAGACUGAUUCUCAACAGGUGGCUGGGUAGUGCCCCCCCCCCUGCUCUGUGUUGGUCGUGCCGGGACCCAUCGCACACAGAGAAGCCACCUUACCCCUCACCUCACCCCGUCGGCCCAAAGACUGACCACCCUCGCCCGAGUCGGGGGGUGGGGUGGGAAUCCCGGAUCACACACACACACACACACACACACACACACACACACACCAGGGUAGGGGAACAGGGAGGAUCUUACCUGCAGAAAGGUAAGAGAAGCCGGGAGCGUGUA